AGAGUUUGAUUCUGGCUCAGGAUGAACGCUAGCGGCAGGCCUAAUACAUGCAAGUCGAGGGGCAGCAGGGGUAGCAAUACUCGCUGGCGACCGGCGCACGGGUGCGUAACACGUAUGCAACUUUCCUUCAACUGGAAGAUAGCCCGAAGAAAUUCGGAUUAAUAUUCCAUAGUUAUAUGAAAUGGCAUCAUUUUAUAUUUAAAGCUCAGCGGUUGAAGAUGGGCAUGCGUUCGAUUAGCUAGUUGGUGAGGUAAUGGCUCACCAAGGCUACGAUCGAUAGGGGAUCUGAGAGGAUUAACCCCCACACUGGUACUGAGACACGGACCAGACUCCUACGGGAGGCAGCAGUAAGGAAUAUUGGACAAUGGAGGCAACUCUGAUCCAGCCAUGCCGCGUGAAGGAUGAAGGUCCUAUGGAUUGUAAACUUCUUUUGAACGGGAGAAAACCUUCGGUCGUGUACCGAAGCUGAUAGUACCGUUAGAAUAAGGGUCGGCUAACUUCGUGCCAGCAGCCGCGGUAAUACGAAGGACCCGAGCGUUAUCCGGAUUUAUUGGGUUUAAAGGGUGCGUAGGCGGAAUGGUAAGUCAGUGGUGAAAUCUUGUGGCUUAACUGCAAAACUGCCAUUGAUACUGCCAAUCUUGAGUACAUUUGAUGUGGGCGGAAUGUGCCAUGUAGUGGCGAAAUACUUAGAUAUGGCACAGAACACCGAUCGCGAAGGCAGCUCACAAAACUGUUACUGACGCUGAGGCACGAAAGCGUGGGGAUCAAACAGGAUUAGAUACCCUGGUAGUCCACGCCUUAAACUAUGAUUACUCGAUGUGUGCGAUACACAGUACGCGUCUAAGCGAAAGCGUUAAGUAAUCCACCUGGGGAGUACGGUCGCAAGAUUGAAACUCAAAGAAAUUGACGGGGGCCCGCACAAGCGGAGGAGCAUGUGGUUUAAUUCGAUGAUACGCGAGGAACCUUACCUGGGCUUGAAAGUUAGUGAAUGCUGUGGAAACAUGGCAGGCCGCAAGGACACGAAACUAGGUGCUGCAUGGCUGUCGUCAGCUCGUGCCGUGAGGUGUUGGGUUAAGUCCCGCAACGAGCGCAACCCCUAUCUUUAGUUGCCAGCGAGUAAUGUCGGGGACUCUAAAGAAACUGCCCGUGCAAACGGUGAGGAAGGUGGGGAUGACGUCAAGUCAGCACGGCCCUUACGUCCAGGGCUACACACGUGCUACAAUGGCGAGUACAAAGGGCAGCUACAUGGUGACAUGAUGCUAAUCUCUAAAACUCGUCUCAGUUCGGAUUGAAGUCUGCAAUUCGACUUCAUGAAGCUGGAUUCGCUAGUAAUCGAAUAUCAGCAAUGAUUCGGUGAAUACGUUCCCGGGCCUUGUACACACCGCCCGUCAAACAAUGGAAGCUGAGGGUACUUAAAGUCGAUAACCGCAAGGAGUCGCCUAGGGUAAAAUCGGUAACU
rnacentral:rRNA from 1 species